rnacentral:rRNA from 1 species
AUUGAACGCUGGCGGCAGGCCUAACACAUGCAAGUCGAGCGAGCGGCGGACGGGUGAGUAAUGUAUGGGGACUGCCCGAUAGAGGGGGAUAACUACUGGAAAAGGUGGCUAAUACCGCCUACUAUCGGUUUACCCAUAUUGGAUUAGCUAGUUGGUGGGGUAACGGCUCACCUAGGCGACGAUCUCUAGCUGGUCUGAGAGGAUGAUCAGCCACACUGGGACUUAGACACGGCCCAGACUCCUACGGAGGCAGCAGUGGGGAAUAUUGCACAAUGGGCGCAAGCCUGAUACAGCCAUGCCGCGUGUAUGAAGAAGGCCUUAGGGUUGUAAAGUACUUUCAGCGGGGAGGCGUUACCCGCAGAAGAAGCACCGGCUAACUCCGUGCCAGCAGCCGCGGUAAUUC